rnacentral:rRNA from 1 species
CCUACGGGAGGCAGCAGUGAGGAAUAUUGGUCAAUGGCCGGAAGUCUGAACCAGCCAUGCCGCGUGAAGGUCAGUGCCCUAUGGGCGUUAAACUUCUUUUGUGCGGGAGCAAUAAUAGUCCCGUGUGGCCAGACGAGAGUAUCGUACGAAUAAGGAUCGGCUAACUCCGUGCCAGCAGCCGCGGUAAUACGGAGGAUCCGAGCGUUAUCCGGAUUUAUGGGGUUUAAAGGGUGCGUAGGCGGUUUGAUAAGUUAGAGGUGCAAUGUCGGGGCUCAACCCCGAAACUGCCGCUAAUACUGUUGGACUAGAGAAUAGUAGCGGUAGGAGGAAUGUAUGGUGUAGCGGUGAAAUGCGUAGAGAUCAGACAGAACACCGAGUGCGAAGGCAGCUUACUAAACUAUAUCUGACGUUGAGGCACGAAAGCGUGGGUAGCAAACAGGAUUAGAUACCCGAGUAGUC